rnacentral:rRNA from 1 species
UGCUCUGGUUGAUCAGUGGCGAACGGGUGAGUAACACGUGAGUAACCUGCCCUUGACUCUGGGAUAACUCCGGGAAACCGGGGCUAAUACCGGAUACGAGACGCGACCGCAUGGUCGGCGUCUGGAAAGUUUUUCGGUCAAGGAUGGACUCGCGGCCUAUCAGCUUGUUGGUGAGGUAAUGGCUCACCAAGGCGUCGACGGGUAGCCGGCCUGAGAGGGCGACCGGCCACACUGGGACUGAGACACGGCCCAGACUCCUACGGGAGGCAGCAGUGGGGAAUAUUGCACAAUGGGCGAAAGCCUGAUGCAGCGACGCCGCGUGAGGGAUGAAGGCCUUCGGGUUGUAAACCUCUUUCAGUAGGGAAGAAGCGAAAGUGACGGUACCUGCAGAAGAAGCGCCGGCUAACUACGUGCCAGCAGCCGCGGUAAUACGUAGGGCGCAAGCGUUGUCCGGAAUUAUUGGGCGUAAAGAGCUCGUAGGCGGUUUGUCGCGUCUGGUGUGAAAACUCAAGGCUCAACCUUGAGCUUGCAUCGGGUACGGGCAGACUAGAGUGUGGUAGGGGUGACUGGAAUUCCUGGUGUAGCGGUGGAAUGCGCAGAUAUCAGGAGGAACACCGAUGGCGAAGGCAGGUCACUGGGCCACUACUGACGCUGAGGAGCGAAAGCAUGGGGAGCGAACAGGAUUAGAUACCCUGGUAGUCCAUGCCGUAAACGUUGGGCACUAGGUGUGGGGCUCAUUCCACGAGUUCCGCGCCGCAGCUAACGCAUUAAGUGCCCCGCCUGGGGAGUACGGCCGCAAGGCUAAAACUCAAAGGAAUUGACGGGGGCCCGCACAAGCGGCGGAGCAUGCGGAUUAAUUCGAUGCAACGCGAAGAACCUUACCAAGGCUUGACAUACACCGGAAUCAUGCAGAGAUGUGUGCGUCUUCGGACUGGUGUACA